UCCGUAGGUGAACCUGCGGAAGGAUUAUUAUCGUGGGGCUCCGGCCCUGUUGAGAUAACACCCUUGCCUUUACAGUACCGCCUGUUUCCUUGGUAGGCUCGCCUGCUAAUGGGGACAACAAAACACCCUAAUGUCACCUGUAACUGUCUGAUAAAACAAACAAAAAUUAAAACUUUUAACAACGGAUCUCUUAGUUCUGGUAUUGAUGAAGAACGCAGCGAAAUGCGAUAAGUAGUGUGAAUUGCAGAAUUUUAGUGAAUCAUCAAAUCUUUAAACGCAUAUUGCGCCCUUUGGUAUUCCUUAGGGCAUGCCUGUUUGAGCGUUAUCUUAACCCUCAAGCACUGCUUGGUGUUAAGUGCCUGUCCUGCCCUGCGCGUGGACUCACCUUAAAUCUAUUGGCGGCCCUUACGCCGGCUUUGAGCGCAGCAGAAACGCGAACUCUUGGCCUGGCGGAGCGGCUCCUAGAAGCUACUCUCACCAUUUUUGACCUUAGAUUAGGUAGGGAUACCUGCUGAACUUAA
rnacentral:rRNA from 1 species